GAUGAACGCUGGCGGCGUGCUUAACACAUGCAAGUCGAACGAUGAUGCCCAGCUUGCUGGGUGGUUUAGUGGCGAACGGGUGAGUAACACGUGAGUAACCUGCCCUUGACUCUGGGGUAAGCCUGGUAAACUGGGUCUAAUACCGGAUACGACCAUCUGUCGCGUGUCAUGGUGGUGGCAAGCUUUCGUGGUUUUGGAUGGACUCGCGGCCUAUCAGCUUGUUGGUGGGGUAAUGGCCUACCAAGGCGACGACGGGUAGCCGGCCUGAGAGGGUGACCGGCCACAAUGGGACUGAGAGACGGCCCAGACUCCUACGGGAGGCAGCAGUGGGGAAUAUUGCACAAUGGGCGCAAGCCUGAUGCAGCGACGCCGCGUGAGGGAUGACGGCCUUCGGGUUGUAAACCUCUUUCAGCUGGGAAGAAGCGAGAGUGACGGUACCGGCAGAAGAAGCACCGGCUAACUACGUG
rnacentral:rRNA from 1 species